UUCCUGCCUGAGAGCAUCAUGCUGCGUGUGGACCUGUGUGCAGGAUAACACAUGGGCAGUGUUGUGUGUAGACCUGUGUGCAGGAUAACACAUGGGCAGUGUUGCGUGUGGACGUGUUGCAGGAUAACACAUGGGCAGUGUUGCGUGUGGACCUGUGUGCAGGAUAACACAUGGGCAGUGUUGCGUGUGGACGUGUUGCAGGAUAACACACGGGCAGUGUUGCGUGUGGACGUGUGUGCAGGAUAACACACGGGCAGUGUUGCGUGUGGACCUGUGUGCAGGAUAACACACGGGCAGUGUUGCGUGUGGACGUGUGUGCAGGAUAACACACGGGCAGUGUUGCGUGUGGACGUGUGUGCAGGAUAACACACGGGCAGUGUUGUGUGUGGACCUGUGUGCAGGAUAACACACGGGCAGUGUUGCGUGUGGACGUGUUGCAGGAUAACACACGGGCAGUGUUGCGUGUGGACGUGUUGCAGGAUAACACACGGGCAGUGUUGCGUGUGGACGUGUUGCAGGAUAACACGGGCAGUGUUGCGUGUGGACGUGUGUGCAGGAUAACACAUGGGCAGUGCUGAGGACAGGGCACGGCUCUUCAUGCAGCAGCUCACUCAGGGCAGCAAGCUUGGAGCAGGUACUCCUGGGGACAGGGACACAGGCUCAGUGAUUCAGGGCCCCCGAAUGGCCUGGACAGGGAAGGUCUUUUGUGUAACCCCCAUGACAGGCAAGGCAGCAGCAACGCUUCACCAUGUUUCCAGACAGACUUGGG
rnacentral:lncRNA from 1 species